ensembl:snRNA U6 U6 spliceosomal RNA
GUGCUAUUGCUCCAAUCCAAACUAGCACAUGUACUAAGAUUGGAACGAUACAGAGAAGAUUAGCAUGGACCCUGCAUAAGGAUGACAACAGUAAAAAUAUGAUUAAAAAAUGGUA